UUCUUGAUAAAAAAAAGUGGGGUCUUUCAUGCAACAAAAAAAAAAAGACAAGUAGACAAGUGGUAGUGCUAGUAGAAUAUCACUGGUGGUGAGAGGGGCAAGUGCUCAAGAGUCCAUUCCAAGAAUGGUAUUGAUGUUGGAGGCAAGAAAGAGCAAUUAUCGGGUGCCGACUUCCUUCUUGUAGCUAAAUAUCGCUUUCUAUUAAUGGGAAAAAAAGAGGGAGCUCUCUUUGCUAAAAAGAGUGGGGUUACCGACUGCCGCUGGAGAUAUUUGUCACUAGCGGUUUGGAGCUUUGGAUCGCUACCAGGACCGGUCGGCCGGGUGGAUCGAGAUCGGCCAGACCGCCUCUCCUCCGGGCAGCACGGUUGGCACGGGAGGAGGGAAUCAUGAGCGAGGGCACGCUGAAAAUGGUGAGGCGGCUGCGCGUCCCCGACAGCGGCGGCAGCAGCAGCAUAGGCAUCGUCGCCGACGACUGGAACGGCGGCGGGCGCUGCAUAGGCGCCCGGAUCCGCGGCGUCAACGUGGGGUUCCUGGACGAGCAGGUGCUGGUGCUGGUAUUCCGCGCGCUCGACUGGGACCCCCGGACGCUCUCCUCCGUGGCGCGCGCCAGCCGCCGCCUCCGCGCCGUCGCGGAGCGCGUGCUGUGGCGCGACCUGUGCGCCUCGAGGGCGCCGCUGAUGGUGGCGGCGCUCACGACCACGGCGACGGGGCGCGUCGGCGGCGGGUGGCCGGCGCUGGCGAAGCUGCUCCUCUUCUGCUCCGGCGCUGCGGCGGGGGCCGCCGUGCCGGGCCACUUCGCCCCCAUGUCCCGGUUCUCCAAGACGUCCGGGCGGAGCUUCCUGCCGCGGCGCUGCGGCAGGGACGUCCUGUACGUGUCGGACCCGUGCGAGCACGCGGCGCCCGGCGACGACGGCGAAGACGACUUGGGAGCGUACCGGGGCGUGUUCCGCGGGUUCGUGGGGUCCCGCACGCGCGCCCGCCUGGUGGACAGCCGCGUCCCGCUAGAGCCAACCGUGCGGUGCCCCUACUGCGGCGCGAGCGUCUGGAACGUGGCCGCGCCGCGCGGCGCGCGCCGCCGCCUCGGCGCGCACGAGAGGCGGCUCCAGUACUUCGUCUGCGUCAGCGGCCACCUCCACGGCAGCUGCCGGCUCGCGCGCCUCACCUCCAGCGACGGCGGCGCCGUUGGCUCCGGCUCCGACGACGACGAUGACGGGUUCGCUGACGCCGACAGCGGACGACUGAGGACGACCGGGCGCCUGGCGGUGUAAAGCAAAGAGCCGGCCACUUGAUGAAAGCAGUUUUAAUUAGUAUCAUCCCUGUCCUCACCGCCGUCGAUCACCAGCAUCGUCCCCUAGCCGGCACCAUGAGUCGACAAUGGAUGUACGGUGACCGGUGCCAUCCCGACUUCAUUAAUGGCAUGCAUUAUUUUCUCAACGUGGCUGAGGCAAACAGGAAGUCGAAUGGUUUCAUCUAUUGUCCAUGUAGUUCCUGUAAGAAUACGAUGGAUUACUCUACCUCAAAGACCAUCCACGUCCACCUGCUGUAGAACGGUUUCAUGCGCAGCUAUAAUUGUUGGACCAAGCACGGAGAAAGAGGGAUUAUAUUGGAAGACAACGAAGAAGAAGAGGAUAGUGACAACUAUCCUAUGUUCACUGAAGACGGUGAUAGUAGAAUGCGCGAAACAACCACUGGGGACUGAUCUAUGUGGAUACUACGUUUGCGAGUACAUCCACAGAAUUGUCAGCGAGAGAGUGAAUAAUGAAAAAAAUAGAGAGUUGAGAAGAAAGCGGGAGAAGAUCUCAAUCGAGGAGCGCUUCAAAGCAAUUGGCGAGGAAUUGGCGGGAUUUUUCCUUCGGGAAGUCAUACCACCAUCCGGAGAGUUCCACUAUGCAUAAAGAUCUUCUCCCGCUCCUCGAUUUCUUUUUGUAUAUAUAGUUCGACUCGGAGUGUACCACUAUGGUACAUGUAAUAGAUAGUAUGCCUCGGAGAGUACCACUACGCAUGAAGAUCGAUCUUCAUGCAUGUACUACUUUAUUCUGGUGCAUCGACUUGAUAUGCAUCGAAGAGUACUACUUAUGCAGUUACAUGUGUGUUAUAUUAU